rnacentral:rRNA from 1 species
UACGAAGGGGGCUAGCGUUGCUCGGAAUUACUGGGCGUAAAGGGCGCGUAGGCGGCACUGUUAGUCAGGCGUGAAAGUCCUGGGCUCAACCUGGGAACUGCGCUUGAUACGGCAGAGCUAGAGGAUGGAAGAGGCUCGCGGAAUUUCCAGUGUAGGGGUGAAAUCCGUAGAUAUUGGAAAGAACACCGGCCGCGAAGGCGUUUCACUGGCUCAUUACUGACGCUCAGGGACGAAAGCCAGGGGAGCAAACGGG